rnacentral:rRNA from 1 species
UGUUUGAUGUUCUAACGUGGACCCGUGAUCCGGGUUGCGGACAGUGUCUGGUGGGUAGUUUGACUGGGGCGGUCUCCUCCUAAAGAGUAACGGAGGAGCACGAAGGUUGGCUAAUCCUGGUCGGACAUCAGGAGGUUAGUGCAAUGGCAUAAGCCAGCUUGACUGCGAGCGUGACGGCGCGAGCAGGUGCGAAAGCAGGUCAUAGUGAUCCGGUGGUUCUGAAUGGAAGGGCCAUCGCUCAACGGAUAAAAGGUACUCCGGGGAUAACAGGCUGAUACCGCCCAAGAGUUCAUAUCGACGGCGGUGUUUGGCACCUCGAUGUCGGCUCAUCACAUCCUGGGGCUGAAGUAGGUCCCAAGGGUAUGGCUGUUCGCCAUUUAAAGUGGUACGCGAGCUGGGUUUAGAACGUCGUGAGACAGUUCGGUCCCUAUCUGCCGUGGGCGCUGGAGAACUGAGGGGGGCUGCUCCUAGUACGAGAGGACCGGAGUGGACGCAUCACUGGUGUUCGGGUUGUCAUGCCAAUGGCACUGCCCGGUAGCUAAAUGCGGAAGAGAUAAGUGCUGAAAGCAUCUAAGCACGAAACUUGCCCCGAGAUGAGUUCUCCCUGAGACUUAGAGUCUCCU